rnacentral:rRNA from 1 species
GAUGAACGCUAGCGGCAGGCUUAACACAUGCAAGUCGAGGGGUAUUGGUUUUCGGACCAAGAGACCGGCGCACGGGUGCGUAACGCGUAUGCAAUCUACCUUUUGCAGAGGGAUAGCCCCAGAGAAAUUUGGAUUAAUACCUCAUAGUAUAGUACUUUGGCAUCAAGGAACUAUUAAAGUCACAACGGCAAAGAUGAGCAUGCGUCCCAUUAGCUAGUUGGUAAGGUAACGGCUUACCAAGGCUACGAUGGGUAGGGGUCCUGAGAGGGAGAUCCCCCACACUGGUACUGAGACACGGACCAGACUCCUACGGGAGGCAGCAGUGAGGAAUAUUGGACAAUGGGCGCAAGCCUGAUCCAGCCACUGCCGCGUGCAGGAUGACGGUCCUAUGGAUUGUAAACUGCUUUUAUACAGGAAGAAACACUCCGACGUGUCGGAGCUUUGACGGUACUGUAAGAAUAAAGGNUACGGCUAAACUCCGUGCCAGCAGCCGU